rnacentral:rRNA from 1 species
GACGAAGGUGGCUAGCGUUAUUCGGAUUUACUGGGCAUAAAGCGCGCGUAGGCGGCUUGGCAAGUCGGAGGUGAAAGCCUGCAGCUCAACUGCGGUGUGCCUCCGAAACUGCCGAGCUUGAGUGCGGGAGGGGUGAUUGGAACUCCAGGUGUAGCGGUGAAAUGCGUAGAUAUCUGGAGGAACACCAGAGGCGAAGGCGAAUCACUGGACCGCAACUGACGCUGAGGCGCGAAAGCUAGGGGAGCAAACA